ensembl:snoRNA SNORA71 Small nucleolar RNA SNORA71
UCCUAUACCCGAAAGUGACUGCAGGCUGCCCGUGCCCUGGUCAUUGGUGGUGCGGGAAGAGGAAUCACUGAGAAGAGCUUGCAUUCAGAGGGUCCAGCCAUCCCUUCCUAAUCUGGAGCUUUCCCACC